rnacentral:rRNA from 1 species
CAGUCGCCGCGGGAAUACGGAGGGUGCAAGCGUUAAUCGGAAUUACUGGGCGUAAAGCGCACGCAGGCGGUCUGACAAGUCAGAUGUGAAAUCCCCGGGCUUAACCUGGGAACUGCAUUUGAAACUGUCAGGUUGGAGUCUUGUAGAGGGGGGUAGAAUUCCAGGUGUAGCGGUGAAAUGCGUAGAGAUCUGGAGGAAUACCGGUGGCGAAGGCGGCCCCCUGGACAAAGACUGACGCUCAGGUGCGAAAGCGUGGGGAGCAAACAGGAUUAGAUACCCCAGUAGUCCCUGUCUCUUAUAC